UUCCCUAACCUCCGAGUCUUAAAAUUGUCAAGGUUGAAAUUUCGCAACUGGACUGCAUUUUCUGAUAAUUUUUCCCGCCUUGUGAAAUUGGUCUUGCACCGAUGUAAGGAGCUGGAAAAGGUCCCUUCCUGUUUAGGGGAGUGUGAGACUCUUGAAAUGAUUGUGGUGGAAAAUUGUCCUGAGUCUGUUGUAGAUUCUGUAAAGCAAAUUCAACAAGAGCAGAUGGACAUGGGAAAUGAGGUUCUAAAGAUCGAAAUUCAUUCCAUUCCUUAGAAGAAGAGUCUAAAGAAGCAGAGUCAAUUCCCUCAGAAGCAGAGGAGGUUUCUUCAGAAAGAGAGUCUAUAUCCUCUCAUCACGCAGUUGGCAAUUGUGAGAGUGAAUGUACAGUGGGAUUCCACUCAUCAGAGCAGGUUUCCUCAGAAGGUGAAGACUGAAACAUUUAUGUCUCUCCUUGAUUUGGUGUGGUCAUUCCACUCAUCAGGGGCAAGCACAGUCAUGCAUUCUAUCAAGCCAACAUUAUCCAUCAUAAUCUAUUUGUAAAAUGUUCUCCAUGUUCUUUUCUGGUUUGAUGUUUAAUAGUGUUUAUGAUCCAUCACAAUCUGUUUGUAAAAUAUUCUCAAGUUAAAGAAGCUGGAUGAUAUUUUUGCUGAACAAUA